ACAUCCAGAGAAUUUAGCAGAGAUGCUUUAGUGCCUUCGGGAACUCUGAGACAGGUGCUGCAUGGCUGUCGUCAGCUCGUGUUGUGAAAUGUUGGGUUAAGUCCCGNAACGAGCGCAACCCUUAUCCUUUGUUGCCAGCACGUAAUGGUGGGAACUCAAAGGAGACUGCCGGUGAUAAACCGGAGGAAGGUGGGGAUGACGUCAAGUCAUCAUGGCCCUUACGAGUAGGGCUACACACGUGCUACAAUGGCGCAUACAAAGAGAAGCGACCUCGCGAGAGCAAGCGGACCUCAUAAAGUGCGCCGUAGUCCGGAUUGGAGUCUGCAACUCGACUCCAUGAAGUCGGAAUCGCUAGUAAUCGUAAAUCAGAAUGUUACGGUGAAUACGUUCCCGGGCCUUGUACACACCGCCCGUCACACCAUGGGAGUGGGUUGCAAAAGAAGUAGAUAGCUUAACCUUCGGGAGGGCGUUUACCACUUUGUGAUUCAUGACUGGGGUGAAGUCGUAACAAGGUAAGCGUAGUGCU
rnacentral:rRNA from 1 species